GACAGAGGAUGCAAGCGUUAUCCGGAAUGAUUGGGCGUAAAGCGUCUGUAGGUGGCUUUUUAAGUCUGCCGUCAAAUCCCAGGGCUUAACCCUGGACAGGCGGUGGAAACUACCAAGCUGGAGUACGGUAGGGGCAGGGGGAAUUUCCGGUGGAGCGGUGAAAUGCGUAGAGAUCGGAAAGGACACCAACGGCGAAAGCACUCUGCUGGGCCGACACUGACACUGAGAGACGAAAGCUAGGGGAGCGAAUGGG
rnacentral:rRNA from 1 species